GCUUCCUUAGCUCAGUCGGUAGAGCGCGAGUCAAGAAUUUGCGGAGCUCAUUGAAGAAGAUAAUCUCGAGGUCGCAAGUUCGAACCUUGCAGGAAGCA